GACGAACGCUGCGGCGUGCCUAACACAUGCAAGUCGAGCGAGGAGAGUUCCUUCGGGAACAAACCUAGCGGCGGACGGGUGAGUAACACGUGGGCAACCUGCCUUGUAGAGGGAAUAGCCUUCCGAAAAGGAAGAUUAAUACCGCAUAACAUUACAGUUUCGCAUGAAACAGUAAUUAAAGGAGUAAUCCGCUACAAGAUGGGCCCGCGGCGCAUUAGCUAGUUGGUGAGGUAACGGCUCACCAAGGCGACGAUGCGUAGCCGACCUGAGAGGGUGAUCGGCCACAUUGGGACUGAGACACGGCCCAGACUCCUACGGGAGGCAGCAGUGGGGAAUAUUGCACAAUGGGGGAAACCCUGAUGCAGCAACGCCGCGUGAGUGAUGGAGGUUUUCGGAUCGUAAAGCUCUGUCUUCGGGGACGAUAAUGACGGUACCCGAGGAGGAAGCCACGGCUAACUACGUG
rnacentral:rRNA from 1 species